UUAAGUGGAAGUAUGAUUUUAUUUGCUUUCUAUUUUAUUAAAUCAUUCUCCUUCUUUCUUCAUGCAGACUGAGAUCGCUGCUUUUAUAGACCGCUUCAGCUAAUUUCUCAUGAGCAUCUUAGUGGACUCAGAGUAUAAAAACAGAUUGCUGUAACUUAAGUGAAAAUGUAUUGUUUUGUAAUGGAAUGGAGGAAAAAAAGGACUUCAGUCUUUGGAGAACACUGGCAGUUUAAUGUGAACUCCCUUUUUUUGCAGCAGAAAGCAGGCUAAAUGCAUCUUUUCAGUUUUUGGAACUCAUAUGCUUACUAAGUCAUCCAACUAAUUACUUGAGGUGGGAAAAGUCUGUAGCAACUUUAAACGUCAAGAUAUUCUGUGGAAAAUUCCAUCUGAAAAACAAAAUGGCUGUUCUUCAUCAGUGAGAUAAAUGUAAAACUACAGAGAGUGAAUGACCGAUAGCACAGAGACUGUCACCUUUACUUUAUAUCCAGAAAUAUGCAGAAAGCAACAAUACGAAGUUCUCCUGGAUGACCAAGAUGCCAUAGCCAUGACUUGAGCUGUCAGCAACAGAAAAGAAGUGAACUGUGACAAAGGUGUGAGCUGGGAUGGAAGCUCCUCAACAUGGUGGAGACUGUCUCCCAGCUGCUGCUGCUGCUGCUGCUGCUGCUGAAAAUAGCUUGAGGUGAGCA